CUAGCCGAUCAAUAUUUGUCGGUCUCGAGGCAUGGAAAUUUGAAAAGCUUGGGUACGCCCACUUUUCAAAGAGUACAUUCCUUUCUACCCUUGUUCUUUUGCGCACUUAUGUUUCCUCAGCAGGUUAGCCUGCCGAUUGGACAACUAAAACCCUUUUAUUUCUCAAUCAGCGUCUGAUAAUAAUAAAUAUUUA
rnacentral:misc_RNA from 1 species